CGCACACAUUUGAUUUCAAAAAGCCUCUUAUGGCCAUUCAUCUUAUGGCCACUCGCACACAUUUGCAUUUGGCUAAACAAUCCUCCUCUUGUGUGUGCUCAUGGCAGUGAUGCUUCCAAGGCCUUCUCCCUUAUUCAUGUAAACUAUUGGAUUUUUAAGAGUCCGACCCCACUAAUUUGGAUUUUGAGAGUCCGACCCCCACUGAUUUUCCAUUCAAACUCCGCCACUGGCUGCUUGCAAUAAUGCUCUUCGUUCUCAAGUAGUUUGCAUUGAGAUUGAUGUUUCCCGUUCUACUCAUGGGGUUUUGUUUGCUCUUCAUAACAGGCUAGUUUCAUAACACGUUAUCAGCACGAGACUCUAAGCACGAAGUACUGAUAAGUCAUCUCGUAGUGACCAACGUUCGCUCAAUCUAGAAUCUCAAAACGCAUUCCACAUAUCCCCUCAUCUUCAUUCUUGGCCAUACUACAGGGAAAAGCAACAAGUCAUGUUAUGAGGUCAGUGCUUCGAAUUUUGUUAACUCGGAAUUUAUAUAAAUGCAUAAGUUGCAACUUCCAUGUUAAUAUUCUUAAUUUUUCUUUCACCACUUUGGGCUAAGAUGCUUUUAAUUUAUUUUGUUAAUACAUGCUAAGGAUUCAUCAAAAUUUUGAAAAGAAAUUUGAUCCGUUCAACCAUUCGGAAGUUAAAUUUUAGAUUAUCAAUAUAUAUGAAAUUAUAGUUUAUUUUACUAUAAUCCAUAUUUUCUGAAGCAAACGGUUUGUUUUUAAAUAUUAUAUAUAUAAGUAUUAUUGUCUCUUUUAAAUUUACCCCUUACUGGGUAUGAAUAUAUGUGUAGAGAUGGUAAAUAAAAAUUUCGGUCACUGAUGUGUGAUGAUAUAACGAUGAAUAAUGAAAGAUAAUAUUUACUAAAGAAAAACUAUAUAAUAGUUUUAAAAAAAAUAUAAACUGUUUCUUUUUUUUUUUCGUUAAGUCAAAUCUUCUAAUUUUUCUAAAUAGUAUGUUUCCAUAAUUAAUUUUACAAGCAUCAAGCUAGCUCUAAUGGAUAAUUACGUAAAUAAAAUAUUUUAUUUACAUGUAAUAUUUGAAUUUGAAGUUAUUAGGCAGAAUAUUUUAUUUGUAAAGACAUUCAUAUAGGAAGUACAUGUAUGCUAUUCAUGAAGUAAUACAUGUAUACGUGAAGUAUUCUUUAUGGAUAA